rfam:Pongo abelii chromosome 10.
GGCUGGUCUGAAGGUAGUCAGUUAUUUUAAUUGACUGUUCACAGUCAGUUAUCUUAAUUGACUGUUCACAGUCAGUUAUCUUAAUUGACUGUUCACAGUCAGUUAUCUUAAUUGACUAUUCACAGUCACAGAUUGAACUCCUUGUUCUACUCUUUCCCCUCUUCUCAACAGGACACUUGACUAGUCUUUA